UACGUAGGUGGCAAGCGUUGUCCGGAUUUAUUGGGUUUAAAGGGUGCGUAGGCGGCCCUGUAAGUCAGUGGUGAAAUACUCUAGCUUAACUAGAGGGGUGCCAUUGAUACUGCAGGGCUUGAAUGAAGUCGAGGUAGGCGGAAUUGACGGUGUAGCGGUGAAAUGCUUAGAUAUCGUCAAGAACACCGAUAGUGAAGACAGCUUACUAGGCUUAGAUUGACGCUGAGGCACGAAAGUGUGGGGAUCAAACAGG
rnacentral:rRNA from 1 species